AACGAACGCUGGCGGCAUGCCUAACACAUGCAAGUCGAACGAGACCUUCGGGUCUAGUGGCGCACGGGUGCGUAACGCGUGGGAACCUGCCCUUAGGUUCGGAAUAACUCCCCGAAAGGGGUGCUAAUACCGGAUAAUAUCUUCGGACCAAAGAUUUAUCGCCUUUGGAUGGGCCCGCGUUGGAUUAGCUAGUUGGUAGGGUAAAAGCCUACCAAGGCGACGAUCCAUAGCUGGUCGGAGAGGAUGAUCAGCCACACUGGGACUGAGACACGGCCCAGACUCCUACGGGAGGCAGCAGUGGGGAAUAUUGGACGAUGGGCGAAAGCCUGAUCCAGCAAUGCCGCGUGAGUGAUGAAGGCCUUAGGGUUGUAAAGCUCUUUUACCCGGGAUGAUAAUGACAGUACCGGGAGAAUAAGCUCCGGCUAACUCCGUG
rnacentral:rRNA from 1 species